UGGAUGCUCAACCCCAUUUGCAGGAGGCAAAAGCCACGGCUCAGACACCCCGAGGAGGCUGAAUCCUGCCCAAAAGCCAAAUUCCUCCUGAUGAACAUGCAGGAACGAGAGCCCAUGGAUGUGGGAGCAACACAACCAGCCCGGAGGGGAUGAGACUGUCCAGACUGAAGGCUCAGUAAACACCGUUUAUCCAGGGUUUUAUUCCCAAUCCUCCAGAGCUGCUCAAUCCAGCCAAGAGCGCUGCAUUUCCAACAGCCUUGGCUGUGUCCUCCAAGAAGGAAGGGAUGAUGAUUUAGCAUCUGGAAUGUUCCCUCUCCCUUUGUUUAACACAAAACCAGCUUUCAUCCCAUGCCUGCGUUCCCACCUGAGGAGAGACUCCUUCAUUUCUGGCAACAUCUUAUUUUCCACAUUACCUCAUCAGCUUCUCGAGGUUUUCCCUCUCAUCUCUCCCCGAGGAGCUCCUGCCUCUCCCUGUGACCUCCCUGCGCAUCAGGUGUGAGCCAGACCGUGAUCUCAGCCCCACAAUUCCCAGAUUUUCCCUGCUGAGAGGGAGGGAGGGCAGGGAAAGGUCUUCCCAAGGUUUUCCAGGUGUGUUGUUCCGAGCUGGAUAUUAUCUAAAAAUACUUUAACCUCACGGACCCGGCUUUGAAAUAAAGGAGAAACCUCAAGCUGAGCCGGGAGUGGUUUGAAAGUAAAACCACCGAGUGUGUGAGGGAUUAUUUUAUGAUCCCACUGCUGCUCCUGAAGGAUUAGGUUAUUCCUAAUUCCUGAUGAAAGCCAAGGAUGCCAGCUCAGCUUUCCUGAGCCAGGGGAGAGAGCUCCUUCCUCCUUCUGGGAUGGAGGAAAUGU